AUUAUUUUAUAAACAUUUAUUUAUUUAUUUAUUUAUUUAUUUAUUUAUUUAUUAUAACGGUAGCGUCCUAAAAGCUAUUUUAAAGUAGGGGGAAAAAAGAAAAUAUAGAUAAUCAGUGUCAAUGUCUGGCUGUCUGAGAGUUAAAGAUGCAUGGACAUCUGAUAAUCCAGGGUUAACCUGUCACGAGACUCAUGUGUGAUGUUCAGGGGUUAAAACAAAGAUGCGCACGAGAGAGUCGCUGUUUCCCUCCACAGACACGUUGCGCUCCUCCACACAGUGCACUCGCUCAUCUUUGUAGGACCUCAGUCAGUGGUCAGUGUACACUGACUUUGCAUCGUCUUCUCCCCACGGAGGCUGCUCUUCAGCACCCGGCGCGAGAACAAUUCCAUAACUUCACUUCACGUGCGCUCGAGUCGCCGUGCGCGCACAUUCACAUUCUGUCACAUUCAUCGACGGUAAGCUCACGCAAGAAAACCUCUGUCUGACUGACUGUCUCUGAGGCGGAGAAUUAGAGAGAGAGAGAAAAAUAAAGAGAAAGAGAAUUUCUCCUCACCGAGCUGCUUAUUUUCUCUGUCAAGCGUGUAUCAUCCGCUGUGUGGUGAAAAGCGCAGACCUGCGUGGGACCGAUUUCCCGCCGAUGCAAGGAGGCACCAACCGUCAUCUGAAAGGCCAUUGUAUCCUCAUCCUGAAUGAUGUCCAUUCGUACAUGUUGAUUUGCUGAUUCCUGGCCUUGAUGUUCUGAUGUCUGCUGGCCCUUGACCUUCAUCCAUGGAUUAGUUCUUCUACGCUUGAGGCAGAUCUGACUGACCAGAUGGUAUCCCUAUGUGUCACUUCUUGUGGGUCAGGCUUAGCAUCAUCAUCCAAUCAGCGACAGGCGCUACCUAGAUGAACCAAUGAGAAAGCAUUUGGAUAGUGUUCAUUCUAUGGAAUCAAAGGCACAGCACUCCUAUGAUAUUAAAAUGCACUCUGUCUUUGUUCAUACCACGCCAAACCAAGAGAGAGAAAGGGGAGGGCGAGGGGAGAGAAAACACACUCCACCCAAAAAAAAAAAAAAAACUUUUUGUAUUCCUCCCCAUAUGUCUCUGCGGGUGGGCACGCAAUGACUCUCCCACUUCUCGCUUUGAAAUCUCUGCCACUUCAGCUGCCUCCUUGAGCUUUUGUCAGCUUGAGACGCUGCACCUCGAUGAAGUAGGGCAACUAGAGUACAGUCUACAAUUCUUACCGUCGCCAUCUUGGCCCUUGUCAUUUCCUCUACUUGUUUGUCCCAGUUUCCAAUGUUAUAUUGUUAUAUAUCCAGGUUUUAACCCACCCCAUUUGUUCGUCCUUACAUGUUUAAAACCUCUUUAAAUCUCUAUUUUCGUUGCUUUGUUUCACAUUUUCCUCAGCCACUGACCUCUCUGGACUCCUCUCUUCAUAGUAAUAGUACAUAUUGUUAGGCUUUUCCUUCAAAUUCAAGAAGAAAGAGGUUUCGGUGGAGUUUUGAAUUAUUCUUUCUCUUGAUUGAAUAGGCCAGAGUUUUUCUUUCUUUUUUUCCGUGUGGAGUGGAGAUAUUAGUGGGCAAAUUGCAUGCCUUUCAUGCAGAUAAAUGGGCGUUCGAUAAAUGCCGCAGUGUUUUUUGAAGCAGCCAGAGAGUCGGGCUGCGUUGGGUGAUAACUUCAUCGCAGCGUGGGGUCAGGGGCAGGAAGAGAAGCCCGGCUGAAAGGGGAUUAAGAGGAGCCGUCGAAGAGCUCCGGACUCGGACCACCUGCUGGGGAGCCCAGGCCUGGUACGCUCCUAAUGUUUCUGAUCAGCUAUGCCAUUGUCUGUGUUCCCCUCUUUCUUUUCUCCCCUCACAAGAAAGAAUUGGAUUGCCUCCCUGUUUCCCUCAACCCAGAUUAGCUGUUGGGCCUUUGUUUGUUGUUGUCAUCUACUUUCCACUAUAUUUUACCUAAGCUUUGGGAUCUGUAGUUCCCUUGUGCUCUUGUUUAGAUGUGACAUGAUGGAAAUGUGCCAAAGGAAUAGUUCACCCGCAAUAUCUGUCAUUGUUUUCUAACCUGCAUGUUACAAAAAUGUGCAGCUCAAA